AUACGGAAGGUCCGGGCGUUAUCCGGAUUUAUUGGGUUUAAAGGGAGCGCAGGCGGAGAUGCAAGCGUGACGUCAAAUUUCGGGGCUCAACCCCGUCUCGCGUCGCGAACUGCGUCCCUUGGUUGCGGGAAGGGGAGGCGGAACUCGUGGUGUAGCGGUGAAAUGCAUAGAUAUCACGAAGAACUCCGAUCGCGAAGGCAGCCUUCCGGCCCGUCAACGACGCUCAUGCUCGAAGUUGCGGGUAUCAAACAGGAUUAGAUACCCUGGUAGUCCGCACAGUAAACGAUGGACACCCGCGGUUUGGCCUGUAUGGCUGAGCCGCCAAGCGAAAGCGUUAAGUGUCCCACCUGGGGAGUACGCCGGCAACGGUGAAACUCAAAGGAAUUGACGGGG
rnacentral:rRNA from 1 species